rnacentral:rRNA from 1 species
UACGGAGGGGACUAGCGUUGUUCGGAAUUACUGGGCGUAAAGCGCGCGUAGGCGGAUUUGCAAGUCGGGGGUGAAAUCCCGAGGCUCAACCUCGGAACUGCCUCGAUACUGCAAAUCUCGAGUCCGGAAGAGGUGAGUGGAAUUCCUAGUGUAGAAGGUGAAAUUCGUAGAUAUUAGGAAGAACACCAGUGGCGAAGGCGGCUCACUGGUCCGGUACUGACGCUGAGGCGACGAAGCGUGGGGAGCAAACAGG